GGGAGGGUGUGGCUAUGAGCAACUGACUCAUGCCAAGCCCAGAAACGAGAACUCCGGGGGCUUUGUUUCCUUCCUUGGUCUGCACCACCACACCUGGUCUAUGUAGCAGUGGAGAUCCAACCCAAACCUUCGUUCUUGCUAGGCAAGUACUCUACAAGAGAGCGGUAUCCUCGGACCAAAGCAAAGGCUUCCUUCCUGUGUUGUCUCACGCAGAAGGCAGACUGCGCAGGAAGCACGAUGGUGACUUCGUGUGAAUGUACAUGUAUGUGUGUGUGUGCAUGUCUGUGAGGGAACGAGGGAGAGGGAGAGAAAGC
rnacentral:lncRNA from 1 species